AUUGAACGCUGGCGGCAGGCCUAACACAUGCAAGUCGAGCGGAUGAAGGGAGCUUGCUCCUGGAUUCAGCGGCGGACGGGUGAGUAAUGCCUAGGAAUCUGCCUGGUAGUGGGGGAUAACGUCCGGAAACGGGCGCUAAUACCGCAUACGUCCUGUGGGAGAAAGUGGGGGAUCUUCGGACCUCACGCUAUCAGAUGAGCCUAGGUCGGAUUAGCUAGUUGGUGGGGUAAAGGCCUACCAAGGCGACGAUCCGUAACUGGUCUGAGAGGAUGAUCAGUCACACUGGAACUGAGACACGGUCCAGACUCCUACGGGAGGCAGCAGUGUGGAAUAUUGGACGAUGGGCCAAAGCCUGAUCCAGCCAUGCCGCGUGUGUGAAGAAGGUCUUCGGAUUGUAAAGCACUUUAAGUUGGGAGGAAGGGCAGUAAGUUAAUACCUUGCUGUUUUGACGUUACCAACAGAAUAAGCACCGGCUAACUUCGUG
rnacentral:rRNA from 1 species